AAGAAGGAGGAUAUCCAUCAAAAUACAACUGCCUAUUACCAUGUAUUGUCCAGCUCAUCAUGAAACUGCCCUGUGAAGAUCCGUCAUAUAGCUGGAAUAUCGCCGAGUGUGGCAUUAAACUACAAACAAACAAACUUGUAUUUCAUGUUCACCAUUGAUACAUAGCCAACAAAAAACUGGUAAUAUUUAUUGACAAGAUACAUUUUGUUUUGUUAAUAUGUGACAGAUACAACAUUGUACAUAUUUAUUUUAUUCACCUUCAGUAUCUGCUUUUAAGUGUUCAACUUUUAUGUUUAAUCAUUAGUUAAGAUAGAUUAAAUGUAGUUAAUGUGACCUUCAUGUUGUAAGCCUUAACAAACCCAAGCCAUGACGUGCUCAAUUGAUUGGCCAAGCUAACCCUCAAAGUUGACCCUUUGUCUCACUGCAUGUUCUCAGUCUGCACACAUUUCCUGCACAGACAUGUUGACCAGUGAAAUCAUCUAAAAUCAGAUAUCCGGAAUUAUAAGUUGCGGCGCUAGUCGGGAAGACACCCAAGUCUGACCCACAGGGGUGUAGAUACUAGAUACUACAUGGAUAAAUAUAUGACAAAUCCAUUGGCGGAAUAAACGUCUCUAACCCCUAGCGUGUGUUUGUCAUCGCUCAUUCACUGCCCUGCUACAAAUACGUAAUACAUACACCAAGUUAUUUAUAUAAUAUGUGUUAAGUGAUCACGCAAAUGUUUGGAACCUGUUUUAGGUGUACAAUAUUGCAAUGUAAUAACA